UGAAUUAUUUCUCAAGGUUGACCUCGGAUCAGGUAGGGAUACCCGCUGAACUUAAGCAUAUCAAUAA
rnacentral:rRNA from 1 species